rnacentral:rRNA from 1 species
GACGAACGCUGGCGGCGUGCUUAACACAUGCAAGUCGAACGGAAAGGCCCUGCUUUUGUGGGGUGCUCGAGUGGCGAACGGGUGAGUAACACGUGAGUAACCUGCCCUUGACUUUGGGAUAACUUCAGGAAACUGGGGCUAAUACCGGAUAGGAGCUCCUGCUGCAUGGUGGGGGUUGGAAAGUUUCGGCGGUUGGGGAUGGACUCGCGGCUUAUCAGCUUGUUGGUGGGGUAGUGGCUUACCAAGGCUUUGAAGGGUAGCCGGCCUGAGAGCGUGACCGGCCACAUUGCGACUGAGAUACGCCCCAGACUCCUACGGGAGGCAGCAGUCGGGAAUAUUGCACAAUGGCCGCAAGCCUGAUGCAGCAACGCCGCGUGCGUGAUGACGGCCUUCGGGUUGUAAACCGCUUUCGCCUGUGACGAAGCGUGAGUGACGGUAACGGGUAAAGAAGCACCGGCUAACUACGUG